AGCUUUAUAUUCAUUAAUGAUAUUAGACUGCAAUUCUAAAGGAGUAGAAUUUCUACUAAGGCUU
rnacentral:tRNA from 1 species